CCAAUAGCGUAUAUUAAAGUUGUUGCAGUUAAAAAGCUCGUAGUUGAAUUUCGGGAUCAAGUCGUCGGUCGUGCCUCGGUACGCACUGGUGACAUUGGUUUCUCCCUUCUGAAGAACCUUGAUGUCAUUAAUUUGGUGUCUUGGGGAAUCAGGACUGUUACUUUGAAAAAAUUAGAGUGUUUAAAGCAGGCUCACGCUUGAAUACAUUAGCAUGGAAUAAUGAAAUAGGACGUUUGAUUCUAUUUUGUUGGUUUCUAGGAUCGACGUAAUGAUUAAUAGGGAUAGUUGGGGGCAUUAGUAUUCAAUUGUCAGAGGUGAAAUUCUUGGAUUUAUUGAAGACUAACUACUGCGAAAGCAUUUGCCAAGGAUGUUUUCAUUAAUCAAGAACGAAAGUUAGGGGAUCGAAGACGAUCAGAUACCGUCGUAGUCUUAACCAUAAACUAUGCCGACUAGGGAUCGGAUGAUGUUAAUUUUUUAAUGACUCAUUCGGCGCCUUAC
rnacentral:misc_RNA from 1 species